GGGUGGGACCAAAAAUAGGACAAAAUUUUGCGGAUUCCAAAUCCGCGUGUUGGGAGUUCGAAUCUCUCCACCCCUG
rnacentral:tRNA from 1 species